rnacentral:rRNA from 1 species
ACGCUCGACACCUACGGGAGUCAGCAGUGGGGAAUAUUGCACAAUGGGGGAAACCCUGAUGCAGCGACGCCGCGUGGAGGAAGAAGGUCUUCGGAUUGUAAACUCCUGUUGUUGGGGAAAAAGAGGAUGGUACCCAACAAGGAAGUGACGGCUAACUACGUGCCAACAGCCGCGGUAAUCUGAGCGGGCUGGCAAGGC